rnacentral:rRNA from 1 species
AAUUCCUUGUCGGGUAAGUUCCGACCUGCACGAAUGGAGUAACGACUUUCCCACUGUCUCAACCAUGGACUCGGCGAAAUUGCACUACGAGUAAAGAUGCUCGUUACGCGCGGCAGGACGGAAAGACCCCGGGACCUUUACUAUAGUUUGGUAUUGGUGUUUGGUACGGCUUGUGUAGGAUAGGUGGGAGACUGUGAAGCCCAGACGCCAGUUUGGGUGGAGUCAACGUUGAAAUACCACUCUGGUCGAACUGGAUGUCUAACUUCGGACCGUGAUCCGGUUCAGGGACAGUGCCUGGUGGGUAGUUUAACUGGGGCGGUUGCCUCCCAAAAUGUAACGGAGGCGCCCAAAGGUUCCCUCAGCCUGGUUGGCAAUCAGGUUUCGAGUGUAAGUGCACAAGGGAGCUUGACUGUGAGACCGACGGGUCGAGCAGGGACGAAAGUCGGGACUAGUGAUCCGGCACCACCUUGUGGAAGGGGUGUCGCUCAACGGAUAAAAGGUACCCCGGGGAUAACAGGCUGAUCUUGCCCAAGAGUCCAUAUCGACGGCAUGGUUUGGCACCUCGAUGUCGGCUCGUCGCAUCCUGGGGCUGGAGUAGGUCCCAAGGGUUGGGCUGUUCGCCCAUUAAAGCGGCACGCGAGCUGGGUUUAGAACGUCGUGAGACAGUUCGGUCCCUAUCCGCUGCGCGCGCAGGAAAUUUGAGAGGAUCUGACCCUAGUACGAGAGGACCGGGUUGGACGAACCUCUGGUGUGUCAGUUGUUCCGCCAGGAGCACCGCUGAUUAGCUACGUUCGGGAUGGAUAACCGCUGAAAGCAUCUAAGCGGGAAGCCGGCCUCAAGAUGAGAUUUCCAUGCCUUCGGGCGAGAGGCUCCCAGCCAGAUUACUGGGUUGAUAGGCGAGAUGUGGAAGCGUGGUAACACGUGUAGCUGACUCGUACUAAUAAGCCGA